rnacentral:rRNA from 1 species
CUGGGCUUGACAUGUUCCUGACCGCCGUGGAAACACGGUUUCCCUUCGGGGCAGGAUCACAGGUGGUGCAUGGCUGUCGUCAGCUCGUGUCGUGAGAUGUUGGGUUAAGUCCCGCAACGAGCGCAACCCCCGUCGCAUGUUGCCAGCAUUUAGUUGGGGACUCAUGCGAGACUGCCGGUGACAAACCGGAGGAAGGUGGGGAUGACGUCAAGUCAUCAUGCCCCUUAUGUCCAGGGCUACACACGUGCUACAUUGGCGCGUACAGAGGGCUGCGAUACCGCGAGGUGGAGCGAAUCCCUUAAAGCGUGUCUCGGUUCGGAUUGGAGGCUGAAACUCGCCUCCAUGAAGGCGGAGUCGCUAGUAAUCGCGGAUCAGCAUCGCCGCGGUGAAUACGUUCCC